rnacentral:rRNA from 1 species
GACGAACGCUGGCGGCGUGCCUAACACAUGCAAGUCCACGAGAAAGCGGUAGCAAUACUGCCGGUAAAGUGGCGAACGGGUGAGUAACACGUAGGUAACUUGCCCUUGGGACUGGAAUAACCUCGAGAAAUCUGGGCUAAUACCGGAUAAUGCAGCGGACCCGCAUGGGUAUGUUGUUAAAGUGGUCUUGGCUUGCCAAGUUCACACCUAAGGAUGGACCUGCGUCCCAUUAGCUAGCGGUGAGGUAACGGCUCACCAAGGCGACGAUGGGUAGCCGGCCUGAGAGGGUGUCCGGCCACACUGGGACUGGAGAUACGGCCCAGACUCCUACGGGAGCAGCAGUGAGGAAUAUUGUCAAUGGCCGAAGGCUGAACCAGCAACGCCGCGUGAGGGAUGAAGAUCUAAGGAU